rnacentral:rRNA from 1 species
ACUCCUACGGGAGGCAGCAAUAGGGAAUCUUCCACAAUGGGCGCAAGCCUGAUGGAGCAACACCGCGUGAGUGAAGAAGGGUUUCGGCUCGUAAAGCUCUGUUGUUAAAGAAGAACACGUAUGAGAGUAACUGUUCAUACGUUGACGGUAUUUAACCAGAAAGUCACGGCUAACUACGUGCCAGCAGCCGCGGUAAUACGUAGGUGGCAAGCGUUAUCCGGAUUUAUUGGGCGUAAAGAGAGUGCAGGCGGUUUUCUAAGUCUGAUGUGAAAGCCUUCGGCUUAACCGGAGAAGUGCAUCGGAAACUGGAUAACUUGAGUGCAGAAGAGGGUAGUGGAACUCCAUGUGUAGCGGUGGAAUGCGUAGAUAUAUGGAAGAACACCAGUGGCGAAGGCGGCUACCUGGUCUGCAACUGACGCUGAGACUCGAAAGCAUGGGUAGCGAGCAGGAUUAGAUACCCUGGUAGGAUAGCG